GCCUAAACAAAAAAAAAGAAAAAUCUGAUUAAAUAACAAAACUGUGAACCCUGAAUCUGAAAUCUCUGUUAUCUAACAGUAGAUGCAACAGUUUGAGCCCACCAUUUAAGAUUAUCUUUCAUGUCCAUCUCAUUACUCGAAGCAGGAAAUCUCCAAUUCAUAAGUGGAUCCUCUUUCUUUCUCCUAUCCAAACUAUUCCAUGCUUCAGAAAGAUAAGGCCUCGAAACUGUGGCCUCAUCAACACCACUCUCUUCUUCCCCAUCUUUCUUUCCCAAUCUUUGCAACCCUGGAAUUAUUGAAACCAAACUUGA
rnacentral:misc_RNA from 1 species